rnacentral:rRNA from 1 species
GACGAACGCUGGCGGCGUGCUUAACACAUGCAAGUCGAGCGGUAAGGCCCUUUCGGGGGUACACGAGCGGCGAACGGGUGAGUAACACGUGGGUGACCUGCCCUCAGCUCUGGGAUAAGCCUGGGAAACCGGGUCUAGUACCGGAUAUGACUCCAUGACGCAUGUUGUGGGGUGGAAAGCCUUGUGCGGCUGAGAAUGGGCCCGCGGCCUAUCAGCUUGUUGGUGGGGUGAUGGCCUACCAAGGCGACGACGGGUAGCCGGCCUGAGAGGGCGACCGGCCACACUGGGACUGAGACACGGCCCAGACUCCUACGGGAGGCAGCAGUGGGGAAUCUUGCGCAAUGGGCGAAAGCCUGACGCAGCAACGCCGCGUGGAGGAUGAAGGCCCUUGGGUUGUAAACUCCUGUCGGCUGGGAAGAAAUCAUGCGUGCUCAUACCACCGUGUGUUGACUGUACCAGCAAAGGAA